UACGAAGGGGGCAAGCGUUGUUCGGAAUUACUGGGCGUAAAGGGCGCGUAGGCGGCCGAUCAAGUCAGGCGUGAAAUUCCCGGGCUCAACCUGGGGGCUGCGCUUGAUACUGAUUGGCUUGAAUGCGGGAGAGGAUAGUGGAAUUCCCAGUGUAGAGGUGAAAUUCGUAGAUAUUGGGAAGAACACCAGUGGCGAAGGCAGCUUACUUCACGAUCAUUGACACUGAGGCACGAAAGCGUGGGGAGCAAACAGG
rnacentral:rRNA from 1 species